rnacentral:lncRNA from 1 species
UGCUUCAGCCGAUCGGGCUAUCUCGCAGUCCACCGUAUCGCCACUAUUUUUAGUGCCCGGUGACGCGCGACCCUGGGUAUUUAAACCCCGCUUGGGAGCCCUUCGAAGGCCAGGCACCUCGACGUCCUUUGGGAACCAAGAGAGAAACCCGUGGCCCUCUCCUUCGAACCCAAUCGCCACGAUGGAGAAGGUUCUCCGGCGACGCGUCCGUGGUUUCAGGUGAGGUUUCCUUAUUUCUUUUCUUUUACUUUUGUCUAUUUUCGUAUAUAAAAAAGAAAAAUAAAAAAAACAAAAUAAGUGAACUCAGAUCUUAGAACGAAAGUGAAAAUCAACCUUUUUUGAUUUCUUGCUACCCUUUGUUUAUGUUUGUUUCCAUCUCCCCUAUCUGUGUUACAAAAUCCUUUUUUUAUAUCAAAAAAGAAGAACCCCCCUCCUCCCCUUACAAAAUAGUUUCGGUGGCUUAAUAUAGCCUUCCACAAUUUUCUCCUAUUUUUUGUUUUCUGUCUUUUCUUCUUUGUUUUUGCAGGUGCAAGUGGCAUGGGAGCGGCAGAGCAGGUGGAGCAAGUGAGCGGUGAUGGGACGGUGGCAGAAAGCAGGUGAACGGCGGAGUUGGUGGCGGUGGCAGAGGGUAGGUGAUGGGGUAUUGUAAUUGGGUCUGCUGGUAUGGGUUCUUUUGUUAGUGGGCCGGGCAGAAAUUGGGUAAGUUAAUUGGUUUUGUGUUUUGUUUUUUUGCUUGGGCUAGAGGUUAAUUGGGCCCGGGCAUGAAAAUUGGGCUUGU